CCCCUCUCAGGGUUGCACCUGGAGAGUUUCCAGUAUUCUACCAGUCUCAGCUACAGGAGGAAGAGUCAAGCAGAGGCCUGUCCAUUCCAUUCUUAGCUUGGCCGGUGGCUAGCGAGUGGAAGGUAAUCUGCUACAAGU